rnacentral:rRNA from 1 species
UACGUAGGGUGCGAGCGUUGUCCGGAAUUAUUGGGCGUAAAGAGCUCGUAGGCGGCUUGUCACGUCGGAUGUGAAAGCCCGGGGCUUAACCCCCGGGUCUGCAUUCGAUACGGGCAGGCUAGAGUGUGGUAGGGGAGAUCGGAAUUCCUGGUGUAGGCGGUGAAAUGCGCAGAUAUCAGGAGGAACACCGGUGGCGAAGGCGGAUCUCUGGGCCAUUACUGACGCUGAGGAGCGAAAGCGUGGGGAGCGAACAGG